GACACUCAAGAGGAUUAGGGGAAGAGAUUUUUCAUCAGAUUUUAUAGAAAAAAAGAGAAAAUUUUAGAAAAGUCACAGACGGCUGGAAAUUUCAUAAAGAGUCAUUGUUCCAUUUAUUUUCUUCUGUUAGUCUGGAGGUUUUGAAUUCCUGAAGCAAUCUCUAAUUCACAUGGGGUAGAAGUUGGUUUCAUUUGGUUUUUGAAAGCUGAUUCUGAGUUGAAUUUGUGUUUGGAGUAUUGUUUUAAUUUAAGUAUAGGGUUUCAAAAGUGGUUCAAAUGCUAUUUGAUGUUUCUAUCCUGUCGAUUCCGGGUUGACUCUGCUGCUGUUGUGAUUAACUUCUUAAUCUCCUUAUUUCCUUC
rnacentral:lncRNA from 1 species